GAUGAACGCUGGCGGCGUGCCUAAUACAUGCAAGUCGAGCGAAUGAUGAGGAGCUUGCUCCUCUGAUUUAGCGGCGGACGGGUGAGUAACACGUGGGUAACCUGCCUGUAAGAUGGGGAUAACUCCGGGAAACCGGGGCUAAUACCGAAUAAUAAAAGAAGAAGCAUUUCUUCUUUUUGAAAGUUGGUUUCGGCUAACACUUACAGAUGGGCCCGCGGCGCGUUAGCUAGUUGGUGAGGUAACGGCUCACCAGGGCGACGAUGCGUAGCCGACCUGCGAGCGAUAUCGCGCACGCCGGGACUGAGCCACGGCCCAGGCUCCUAGGGGGGGCAGCAGUAGGGAUUCUUCGGCAGUGGGCGAGAGCCUGACGGAGCAACGCCGCGUGAGCGAGGAAGGCAUUCGGGUCGUAAAGCUCUGUUGUCAGGGAAGAACAAGUACGAGAGUAACUGCUCGUACCUUGACGGUACCUGACCAGAAAGCCACGGCUAACUACGUGCCAGCCGCCGCAGUAAGAC
rnacentral:rRNA from 1 species